rnacentral:rRNA from 1 species
UACGUAGGGUGCAAGCGUUGUCCGGAAUUAUUGGGCGUAAAGAGCUCGUAGGCGGUCUGUCGCGUCUGCUGUGAAACUCAGGGCUUAACCCUGAGCUUGCAGUGGGUACGGGCAGACUAGAGUGCGGUAGGGGAGACUGGAAUUCCUGGUGUAGCGGUGAAAUGCGCAGAUAUCAGGAGGAACACCGGUGGCGAAGGCGGGUCUCUGGGCCGUAACUGACGCUGGAGGAGCGGAAAGCAUGGGGAGCGAACAGG